UGGGGAAUAUUGGACAAUGGGCGAAAGCCUGAUCCAGCCAUGCCGCGUGUGUGAAGAAGGUCUUCGGAUUGUAAAGCACUUUAAGAUGGGAGGAAGGGCAGUAAGCGAAUACCUUGCUGUUUUGACGUUACCGACAGAAUAAGCACCGGCUAACUCUGUGCCAGCAGCCGCGGUAAUACAGAGGGUGCAAGCGUUAAUCGGAAUUACUGGGCGUAAAGCGCGCGUAGGUGGUUCGUUAAGUUGAAUGUGAAAGCCCCGGGCUCAACCUGGGAACUGCAUCCAAAACUGGCGAGCUAGAGUAGGGCAGAGGGGGGUGGAAUUUCCUGUGUAGCGGUGAAAUGCGUAGAUAUAGGGAGGAACACCAGUGGCGAAGGCGACCACCUGGGCUCAUACUGACACUGAGGUGCGAAAGCGUGGGGAGCAAACAGG
rnacentral:rRNA from 1 species